rnacentral:rRNA from 1 species
CACGUAGGGUGCGAGCGUUGUCCGGAAUUAUUGGGCGUAAAGAACUCGUAGGCGGUGUGUCGCGUCGGCCGUGAAAACCUGCAGCUUAACUGUGGGCGUGCGGUCGAUACGGGCAUCACUGGAGUUCGGCAGGGGAGACUGGAAUUCCUGGUGUAGCGGUGGAAUGCGCAGAUAUCAGGAGGAACACCGGUGGCGAAGGCGGGUCUCUGGGCAGUAACUGACGCUGAGGAGCGAAAGCGUGGGGAGCGAACAGG